AAUCAACGCUGGCGGCGUGCCUCAGACAUGCAAGUCGAACGAUUAAGACUCUCUUCGGAGAGUGCAUAAAGUGGCGCACGGGUGAGUAACACGUAAGUAAUCUACCCUCGAGUGGGGAAUAACGUCCGGAAACGGACGCUAAUACCGCAUAAUGCAGCGGCACCGCAAGGUGACAGUUGUUAAAGAUUUAUCGCUUGAGGAGGAGCUUGCGGCAGAUUAGCUAGUUGGUAAGGUAAUGGCUUACCAAGGCUACGAUCUGUAACCGGUCUAAGAGGACGGUCGGUCACACUGACACUGAAUAACGGGUCAGACUCCUACGGGAGGCAGCAGUCGGGAAUUUGGGCAAUGGGCGAAAGCCUGACCCAGCAACGCCGCGUGAAGGAUGAAGUAUUUCGGUAUGUAAACUUCGAAAGAAUAGGAAGAAUAAAUGACGGUACUAUUUAUAAGGUCCGGCUAACUACGUGCCAGCCGCCGCAGU
rnacentral:rRNA from 1 species